rnacentral:rRNA from 1 species
UACGGAGGGUGCAAGCGUUAUCCGGAUUCACUGGGUUUAAAGGGUGCGUAGGAGGGCAGGUAAAUCAGUGGUGAAAUCCCCGAGCUUAACUUGGGAACUGCCGUUGAUACUAUCUGUCUUGAAUAUUGUGGAGGUGAGCGGAAUAUGUCAUGUAGCGGUGAAAUGCUUAGAUAUGACAUAGAACACCAAUUGCGAAGGCAGCUCGCUACACAUAUAUUGACUCUGAGGCACGAAAGCGUGGGGAUCAAACAGG